AGCCGCGGUAAUACGGAGGAUCCGAGCGUUAUCCGGAUUUAUUGGGUUUAAAGGGAGCGUAGAUGGAUGUUUAAGUCAGUUGUGAAAGUUUGCGGCUCAACCGUAAAAUUGCAGUUGAUACUGGAUAUCUUGAGUGCAGUUGAGGCAGGCGGAAUUCGUGGUGUAGCGGUGAAAUGCUUAGAUAUCACGAAGAACUCCGAUUGCGAAGGCAGCCUGCUAAGCUGCAACUGACAUUGAGGCUCGAAAGUGUGGGUAUCAAACAGGAUUAGAUACCCUGGUAGUCCACACGGUAAACGAUGAAUACUCGCUGUUUGCGAUAUACAGCAAGCGGCCAAGCGAAAGCGUUAAGUAUUCCACCUGGGGAGUACGCCGGCAACGGUGAAACUCAAAGGAAUUGACGGGGGCCCGCACAAGCGGAGGAACAUGUGGUUUAAUUCGAUGAUACGCGAGGAACCUUACCCGGGCUUAAAUUGCAGAUGAAUUACGGUGAAAGCCGUAAGCCGCAAGGCAUCUGUGAAGGUGCUGCAUGGUUGUCGUCAGCUCGUGCCGUGAGGUGUCGGCUUAAGUGCCAUAACGAGCGCAACCCUUGUUGUCAGUUACUAACAGGUUCCGCUGAGGACUCUGACAAGACUGCCAUCGUAAGAUGUGAGGAAGGUGGGGAUGACGUCAAAUCAGCACGGCCCUUACGUCCGGGGCUACACACGUGUUACAAUGGGGGGUACAGAAGGCAGCUACCUGGUGACAGGAUGCUAAUCCCAAAAGCCUCUCUCAGUUCGGAUCGAAGUCUGCAACCCGACUUCGUGAAGCUGGAUUCGCUAGUAAUCGCGCAUCAGCCA
rnacentral:rRNA from 1 species